AGUUAACUGAACACGUUACAUUUAAAAGACACUGUUCAUGCGGACGUGAAGCAUUCUACCCAAAGGCUAUCACAUCUCCUUCCCACCAUGAUGCAACUCAUUGUCUGGACAGUGCAGAUGGGAGCUGGCAUGCAGUAGGGUCCUCAUGGAUGAGUAAUUGCAUUAACUGCACUUGCUUCUCAUGUUGUUCCACGUACUCCAUUCCAC